CAUCAAGUGGCCGACAUUAAGCGUAGGUCUCUUAAACCUAAUUAAGGUAUAUUACCCUUGAUGA
rnacentral:tRNA from 1 species